AUCGAACGCUGGCGGCAGGCCUAACACAUGCAAGUCGAGCGAGCGGCGGACGGGUGAGUAAUGUAUGGGGACUGCCCGAUCGAGGGGGAUAACUACUGGAAACGGUGGCUAAUACCGCAUACUAUCCGAUAACCCACAUGGGAUUAGCUAGUCGGUGGGGUAAAGGCUCACCUAGGCGACGAUCCCUAGCCGGUCUGAGAGGAUGAUCAGCCACACUGGGACUGAGACACGGCCCAGACUCCUACGGAGGCAGCAGUAGGGAAUAUUGCACAAUGGGCGCAAGCCUGAUGGAGCAAUGCCGCGUGUGUGAAGAAGGCCUUAGGGUUGUAAAGUACUGUCGGCGGGGAGGCGUUAUCCGCCGAAGAAGCACCGGCUAACUACGUGCCAGCAGCCGCGGUAAUUC
rnacentral:rRNA from 1 species